UAAAGCUACAAAGAGCUAAUGGGGAAUGCCUUGGUACUGACAGCCGAUGAAGGACGUGUAAAGCUGCGAUAAGCUGCGGGGAACUGCUAAAAGGUCUUGAUCCGCAGAAAUCCGAAUGGGGAAACCCUAUCAAGUUAAAACUUGAUAACUCACAAGUGAAUACAUAGCUUGUGUAGAGGAAAGCCUGUGAACUGAAACAUCUUAGUAACAGGACGAAGAGAAAAUAACCCAAUGAUUCCGAGAGUAGCGGCGAGCGAAAUUGGAAGAGCCUAAAUUGUGUGUACGUGAUAGCCUGCAAGCGUUGUGCACAUGAGGUUGUGGGACUUGCAUCAUAUUUUGCAGAAUAUGGAUUGAGUUAGAAAAUUAUUUAUUAGUUAAAGUCAACUGGGAAGUUGCGCCAUAGAGAGUGAUAGCCUCGUAAACGACAAUAAAUAAUCUCAAGUAAGUAUCCCGAGUAAGGCGGGGCACGUGAAACCCUGUCUGAAUCCACCGGGACCAUCCGGUAAGGCUAAAUACUAGUCAGUGACCGAUAGUGAACGAGUACAGUGAUGGAAAGGCGAAAAGAACAGUGAGAAGCUGAGUGAAAUAGACCCUGAAACCGUUAGCUUACAACCAGUCAGAGCACAAUUAAUUGUGUGAUGGCGUGCCUGUUGAAGAAUGAGCCGGCGAGUUAUUUUUUGUUGCGAGGUUAAGGAGAUCAUAUCCGGAGCCACAGGGAAACCGAGUCUGAAUAGGGCGUUAAGUAACAGGAAAUAGACCCGAACCUUGGUGAUCUAACCUUGACCAGGAUGAAGCGUGGGUAACACUACGUGGAGGUCCGAACCAACCGAUGUUGAAAAAUCGGUGGAUGAGUUGAGGUUAGGGGUGAAAUGCCAAUCGAACCAAGAGCUAGCUGGUUCUCCCCGAAAUGCGUUUAGGCACAGCGUUGGAUUUAUCUUGCAGGAGGUAGAGCACUGGUUUUGUGCGGGCGUCGAAAUGAUGUACCAAACAAUGUCAAACUCCGAAUACCUGUAAUGUCAUUAUCCAGCAGUGAGGCUAUGAGUGAUAAGAUCCAUGGCCAAGAGGGAAACAGCCCAGAACGCCAGUUAAGGUCCCUAAUAUAUGCUAAGUGGUUAAGGAGGUAGAGUUACUGAGACAACCAGGAGGUUGGCUUAGAAGCAGCCAUCCCUUGAAAGAGUGCGUAAUAGCUCACUGGUCAAGUGACUCCGCGCCGAAAAUACACCGGGACUAAAGCAUAUAACCGAAGCUGCGUCAUAUAGUUUACUAUAUGGGUAGGGGAGCGUACUGUAGUAAGACGAAGCUAGAGUGAAAACACUAGUGGAUGAGGCAGUAGUGAGAAUGUCGGCAUAAGUAGCGAAAACAUUGGUGAGAAUCCAAUGCACCGAAAACCUAAGGUUUCCCACGGCAGGCUCGUCCGCGUGGGGUUAGUCGGAUCCUAAGCUCAGGCCAAACGGCGUAGGCGAUGGACAAUAGGUUGAUAUUCCUAUACUAUCUGAUAAUCGUUAUCAGAAGCGGAGGGACGCAAGAGGAUAAGCACGCAGUCGACUGGAAGAGACUGUAUAAGCGUGUAGCUAGGUUUGACAGGAAAAUCCGUCAAAUCGUUAAUGUGAGGCGUGAUGUGGAGAGUCUACGGACUCGAAGGUGUUGACUCCAAAUUGCCAAGAAAAUCUUCGCUCUCGAGAUUAUUGGGUAUCCGUACCGUAAACCGCCACAGGUAGGUUGGUAGAAAAUACUAAGGUGCGCGAGACAACUCUCGCUAAGGAACUCGGCAAAAUCACCUCGUAACUUCGGGAGAAGAGGUACCCUGGUAGCGUGAAGCGAUUUACUCGUGAAGCGUGAUAGGGUCGCAGUGAAUAGGCCCAAGCGACUGUUUACCAAAAACACAGGUCUCUGCUAAGUCGAUCAAGACGAUGUAUAGGGGCUGACGCCUGCCCGGUGUCGGAAGGUUACGCGGAAAUGUUAGAAGCAAUUCAAAGCAUCGAAGCUAAGCCCCGAUGAACGGCGGCCGUAACUAUAACGGUCCUAAGGUAGCGAAAUUCCUUGUCAGGUAAGUUCUGACCCGCACGAAUGGCGUAACGAUUUGGGCGCUGUCUCGGCGAGAGGCUCGGCGAAAUUGGAUUAUCCGUGAAGAUACGGAUUACGUGUACCAGGACAGAAAGACCCUAUUGAGCUUUACUGUAGCUUGAAAUUGAAUUCGGGUUCUCAUUGCGCAGUAUAGGUGGGAGACUAUGAAGCUUGAACUUUGGUUUAAGUGGAGUCAUCGUUGAGAUACCACUCUGUGAAAAUUUGGAUUCUAACCUUGAUCCCUCAAAGAACAGGGCAAGGGACAGUUUCUGGUAGGCAGUUUGACUGGGGCGGUCGCCUCCUAAAAAGUAACGGAGGCGUUCAAAGGUU
rnacentral:rRNA from 1 species